UGCUGGUUGAUGCCGGUCAUGCGGCAGGGGCCGAUCUGGGCGAAGCCCAUCGGAGCUGCCAUGUCGACGCUGACCCGAUUUUCGCAUCGGAGUUCUUAAACGUUUCGAUUGCUGGCCUAUCCGGCAAGUGCUGCAGCCCCGACGAGCUCAACACCGUCAGAUGUGGGAUCGAUGGCUGGAGGACUACAGGAAGGCAGUAGCUGACCAUCUCCUCCAGCUGGUUGUACAAAUAUUGUAGCUGUAGGUCAAACUUUGAAUAUACUUAGCUGCCAAAUACGCCUCAAUUCAGCAUCUAUUUUUAGGCUAAUCAAGUUAAUAAUUGUAUGAACACCGAUGGCAGUCUGAAGUUGACCAGAUUGCAACUAUUGUCAAUUAAGCUUUCGAGUGGAUGCAACGUAGGGCAGCUUCCAUGCCUGCCAUUGAAGGAUAAACAGUCGGGAAUCUAGAUGCAAUUUCCAUAUAUAUUUUGCGUCGUGCACUAAAGCCGGGUCACGUAUCGCACAUGCCGACAGUGUGCGACAAGCCAUGCUAAAGAGGUAGAAAGGGCGCUUGCAGCGCUCAGACUACUUUGCCGUGCCACACAAACGUGCACCUCAUCCGCUUCACUGUCUAGAUUUGUUUAGAGUACUUCUGAAGUCCUAUGGCUUUUCAUAUGCUUACUACUGAAGUAGUGCUCAUUUCUCUCACUGAAUUUGCUGAAUAUUUGUUUUGCAUGUAAGGACUGAAGUUUAGGGCAAACCAGAGAGAAGAGGAGCUGUAUGCAGUGUCAAGAUGCGGUCAAUUCGAGCGUGAAGCUGAUGAAGCUGUGGGAAAGGAUUCGUUUUCUGUCGGCUCAUAAUCCGUUUGUUGAAAAGGAAGGCACAAGAAAUAUUGUUUACCGAGAGAGACUUUUUUUGUGCAUACCAAGGAUUGUGUUAACUGCACCAUCUACAGGGUGGUCCUUCACACGAUAAGGAACAAGACCAUCCUCGAGCAACAAAUUUCAGGUCUGUGCAAAUGCCAGCUGCAGAGGUUCAGUGCUGAAACUACCUACAAAAGCUGCCACGGUACACGAACUGAUGCACUUCAAGGCGUAACUACCUCAAUACUGAUCACACUACGUAUCUGUUAUAUGCAUUUUACACUAGCAGAUACUUCCACGUUGUACUAUAAUCAGUAAUUUGUUCUCUGUACUUUGUGUUGCACUGAAUGGCUUUAUUAUGCUGAAGACAACUCUUCAUCUCUUCUGUCUUUGUAUCAUCCCAUAUUGAUGUAAUCAGUUAUAAGAUAGUCUUUGUGCAGUUGAUUUUCA